AAUUUCUGGCCUUGUGCCAAAAUUAGAAAGGAUUAUCGUCAUCAUCAUCAUCACAAGAAUGGUGGGGUGUUGAAUAAAAUACUUUGCAGUAUAUGGUUACAUCCUUUUAUGUUCUGAGUUCUAAUCAUGCCAGAGUCAGCAUUGCCUUUUGUUUUCCUGAGAUUGAUAAAAUAAGUACCAGUUAUAUACUGGUGUUGAUAUGAUUGAUUGUUUACAUCCAUUUUUACUCCCCAAAAGUUUCUGGUUUUAUACCUGUGUAAGAAAUUGUUGUUAUAUUGUCAUAACUUUCGGGGGUUGUGAAUAGCAUAAUUAGCUGAGCACCAGACAAGAUCUUUGCACUAUUUAGUUGCAUCCAUUUACUUUCUGAUUGCAAAUAUCUCUCUCUGGAGUGGGGAUCAACUUUAUACCUUUCACCCUUCCAAGGUUGAUAAUGUUAGCACCUGUUAAGUACUUGAAGCAGUUUGAUCAACUAAUCCUCCACUAUAUUUCUGGCCUAAUGCCUUUAUUAGAACUUAUUAUUAAAGUUGUUGUUAUGGUUAUCGUUAUUUAUUAUUAUUAUUAUUAUUAUUAAGGUGGUGAGCUGGCAGAAUUGUUAGAAUGAAAUGCUUAGCAGCAUUUUGUCCAUAUUUACAUCCUGAGUUCAAAUGCCACCAAGGCCAACUUUGCUUCUCGUCCUUUCAGGAUCAAUAAAAUAAGUACCAGUUGAGUACUGGGGUUGAUGUAUUCAACUAGUGCUCUUCCCACAAAUUUCAAGCCCUGUGCCUAAAGCAGAAAGACUUAUUGUCACCAUCAUAAGGGCAAUGUAGUUGAAAAAGAAAAUGUUAAUGAACCAAAACUUAAAGUAUUCAGUUCUGUUCAUAACUAUUCUAAAUGCCCUGGAAGUAUUUGUAAUAUUCUUGUGGUUGAUAUUAUAAAUUAUAUCUCACCUCAACAGCCUUGUCCUUGUAGCUUAUAUUAUUAUUAUUGUUAAGUUGACUCCAUUUCCUCUAACAUAAAGAGAGAAAGAAAAUAUGUAAGUUAAAACUAUGGUAAAUUAUUUUGGUGUUCUGGGUUUAGAAAAGAACUGUUUUAAUAUUUGAUACAGUAUUUUGGCUUGACAUUGAUUUGUUUCAUUGUUUCUUGUGAGAUUAUUUAAUAUUUGAUCAAGGUAAACAUACUCUGGAAAGAAUCACAUAAAAUGCCUACAAUUUUUUAUAAUUAUUUAAAAAUGAAUCAUUCUAACUAAUAAACUCUCUCCUUCCAAUGAAUACUUUAUAUCAACCUUAGAUUUCGAAGUGGAUUUUUUUUUUUUUUAUAUCUUUGUAUUAAACCUUGUUCAUCUGUUACUGAAAAUUAGGUGUUAGAUGAUUUAAAAAAAAAAAAAAACUUGUAUUUUAUGGCAAAGUAUGGAAGAAGGGAUUGCAAAUAAGUGUCAACAGACCAGGGCCCUAUUAAAUAAUCAGUAACAAUUUGUUUGGUGGUGUGUAAAUUGAACCACUCUAAUAUGUAAAAUGAAAUAAUUUGACAUGUAGCAGUGUUAAGUCUGUAAUGAAAUACAGUUGUCUGGUGUUAGCUGGACUGAUCACCACUGAAAACACAUAAAAAAUAGCAAUCUAAAAACAUAAACAACGAGCAGAUACAAUUAUCCAAUGUGAUAUUACCUUGAUAUAAUUAUAUGCUAUGAUAUUGCCUGGAUGUAAUUUAUACAAUGUGGUAUUACUUGGAUACAAUUAUAUGGUGUGAUAUUACUAGUUAAAAUGAUAUGGUAUGAUAUUGCCUGGAUAUAAUCAUACAAUGUGAUAUUCCCUUGAUAUAGUUACAUUGUGUGGUUUUCCCUGGAUAUAAGUAUAUGGUGUAAUAUAGCCAGUUUACAGAACAAAAACACUCGAUGUUCUGUGGUGCAGUUUGUUGCACAGACAUAAUUUCCAGAAAUGCUACAACACUAUCUCAGUUGCUUGAAGACUGUAAGAACAGCUGGAGUACACUUAAAUUAUGAUUUUAGAUUCAAUCUUUCUAAUACUUUUAACUAUUAAUAACCACUUCAGAUAUCCAAGGCAGCUAAAGGUUUGGUUUAUUGUUGGUGUCACUCAGAUAGAUCAAAAAGUUGUUAUUUCAUGGUGAAUGAGGUUUUCACUCAAGGAGGAGGAUGCACCUGCAUUUCAAAUGAAAACUGCCUAGUUUCUUUUUGUGCACACACACACAUAUAUAUUAUAUUUGGUUAAUGAGAGAUGGAAGAUACGAGAAUUUUUAUUUAUCACUACAUGUGUAUUAUCUAUAUUUAAUAUAAUAUACUAACAGUAGUUCUAGAGUUACUACCAAAAGUGUCAUUGCUUCAGUCUAUAGAAUUUUUGCUUUCUUCAGUUCGAUAAAUAGCAGUGCAGUCUAAAUAGCAAUUGCUGGUGUAGCACUGGAUAACAAUACUUGCUUAAACUGCACCAGAUAAUAAUAUUGCUUAAUUAAUCAUGUUCCACGAUACUGCCACAAAUAACAAAGAGAGAAUUCCAUUAUAUGUAAUUGUUUGUGAGAGAUUUAUUAGCUACAGGUUUUUCUGACAUCAGGAAAAAAUAAAUCAAUAACACCAUAAAUACUUAAAUAUCACAAUAUCCAUAUUUUUUGCUGAACUGGAAACUGCUGGUAAUUUACAACAAAAUUUUGAAACUGACAGAAUUUAGUAACUUAAUGUCCACCUUUGAAAGAUAGUUUUCUUUUCAUAUUAUAAAGUUCAAUACCAAUCUUUUUAAAUGCUUCUUUUUUUUUUACCUCAUUCUGUUGGUUGUAUUCAGUGGCACUUCAGCUUCAGAACAAUACCACCUGUCGCUUUUGAAUAUGAUAUUUUAAUAAAAAUAAUAAUAAUGAAAUUAUUGUAUACAGUGCUCAGGUGCACCACAACUUGUCAGAAGUGCAAGCUUUAUCUUAUUACAUUUACUUUCUACUGUUAACUGUGAUCACUCAUGGUGGCUGCGAGUUUUAUGCCGAAAGUUAGGAAUAGAUAGACCGUUAAACAGAUGUGUUUGCAUUCAUCUAACUAAAUAUGCAUUGAUUUAAAGCCUCUGGUUUAAAAAGUACUUUUGUUCUAAGGUAGAAUUCGUUGAAAGGAGAGUUGUAUAUUCUUUUUCUGAACCAUAUAGAAAAACUGUUUCUAAACAAGUCAAUGAUCAUAAAAUAGAAAGCAUUAGCUUUAUGAUUUGUUAAUGUUAUGUAAUUAUUAUCCUCAAGAGUUUAUCAUGACCAGGAUUAUAACUCAGGCUUAAUGUGAUCAGGCCUAUGUAGAAAAAGUCUACUAGUUACCCAAGACUUGCUGCAAGAUAUCUAAUCUUCUCUGUUUAUAGAUCUUCCUUUACACACCAGGUAAUCUACCUAUAUACCUCCACAUCCUCCCCCCCCUUUUUGUUUUUACCAUUUCAACGUGACAUUUUCUUUGUCAACCCUUUUAAUUGAUAUUUUCACUUCCAAAUAGUGUUGAUGUUUUUAUUUUAUUUUUAAUAAACUCUUGUAAAAUAAAUAAACUCAAAUUAAUAAAGCUCAUAUUA
rnacentral:lncRNA from 1 species